GGUACUGUGGCCGACAACAAGCAAGAGACUGCAAACCUUUUUAUGGAAUAAACACCCUUUACCA
rnacentral:tRNA from 1 species